GUUUAAUUGAUGAUAGAGAAACGGAAAAUCGACAUUCGGUGGACCAUGAUGAUUGUGAAAUCAGUGUUCAAGUUUGCAGUUUCUUUGUUUCAUGGCAGUUCUCUCUCUCCCUCCCCCACGCGCACCCCGCCUCUCUUUUCUAAUGCUGCUUAGUUUGUGAUUUUGAUCAUAGUCCCUGGUAGAGACACUUGCAAGAUUGCAAUGGUACACCAAGAAGAUGCUGGCCUGAAUGUUGAGAUGGCAAAACUAGCUUUUGCAAAGGGUAUAUGGAGUUAUGUAUGUAAGAUGGACAAUGCAUUGUGGAAAUACCCUCCUGCCCACUGUAUAGGCACAAACUUAGCUGUGACUGCUCUCUAGCUAAUUCAAUAGGACUAAUCAACAUGCAGUUGGAUGAAAAAAUUGGCAAUCUGAUUACAAUUUGGUACAGGUUCAUUAUCCAAUGGAAGCCUUUCAAAGUGUUCCAAUAGCUGAUUCCAAAGUGCAGCUUCUAGAAAUACAUGCAGAAGGCUGAAAUGAGGUGUCUCUUACCAAGAAGACUGCUGGAUCAUGGAUUUUUUUCUGGAUCCCCUCUACAUGAAGAAGAUAGGAAUAAGAAAUCAAAUGGCCUAUUUUGCAAUGUCUUUUUUGUGCUACGGGCUCGUGAGAAGUUUUUAUCAUUGAGGAAAGGUACAAAGUCGAAAGUUGUUGCUAUCUUA